ensembl:lncRNA
ACACAAAUGCAUUAUCUUACUGCUGUGGAGGUCAGAAGUUUAAAAUGAGUUGGCAGGGCUGAGAUUCUUCUGGAAGCCAGAAGAGAAUCUGUUUCCUUGCUUUUCCAAUUUUUCAGGGCUACCUACACUCCUUGGUGCAUGGCCUUUUUCUGGAAUCACUCCAUCCUCAUCUCUUGUCAUCACAUCUCCUUCUUUGACUCUGACCCUCCAGAUUGCCUUUUACAAGAAUCCUGUGAUUAUACUGGAUUCACAUGCAUAAUCUAGGUCAGUCUCCCCAGCUCCAGAUCCUCAACUUCAUCAUAUCUUCAAAGUCCCUUGUGCCAUGUAAGGUACCACGUUCAUAAAUACUGGGGUUUAGGAUGUGGACAUCUUUGGAGGGAGCCAUUGUUUUGCUUUCCAUAGUGCUGCACAUGGAAAUGUGAUCCUAUAGGGAUGUUUUAGCUCAGAUAAAGGUUGAGGACUAUUCUUAUUGAAUCUAAAAGAACGAAAACCCAUUUAUUUAUUUGUCUGUAUUGUCUUCAAAAUAUAGAUUCAAAAUCUUCUCUUUUAACUUGGAAUAAGAGAAGUAGUGAAAACAAUCACAAAACAGGAGACAUAUCACUAAAAGCAUGAGAAUGCUUACUAACUAGUGAGAAUAAAUGUGUGAACAUGAGAGUGAGGGCCCUUGUUUGUGUGGAAAUUAAACUCCUUGUGGAAGCAGAAAAAUAAUAAGCAUACAACAGAUUGGAACACAUUUCAAGACUGGAACCAACGGAACUUGCUGGUAGAUUAGACAUGGGAAGUGAGAGGAAGGGAGAAAGUAAGACCCUGAGCAUUUGCUCAGUGGGUGGCGGAUGAGUUAUACUCUGCAGGGACACCUAAAUAAAGCAGAGGCCAGACCCUCCCUUAAUGGUCAAAGUUUAGUAAAAGGGUGAACUCAAAAUCUAACAAUGGAAAUGUGAGUGGCAUCCUGUUAUACACAGAAAAGAGCAAACCAAAGGCCAAUAUACAUUUGAAAGGAUCUUAAGUCACUGCUCACCCAAGAAAUGUUCAUUAAAAUGAUGACUUUUUGAAUAGAAUUGGAAAAUAUUGAAAGACAUAGUAAAAAUUACAGUACAAUGAAGCUACCUGAAAACCUAUCUCAAUCAUUAGAAAGAGACAUCAAACCUUGGCAAAGUGGUAGGAAAUUAGGUAUCUUCCAUUAUUGUUGGGAGGAGGAAUGGAAAUUGGUACUAGUUUUUGGUUUUUUUGGUAAGUGUUUCUGUCAAUAUAUCUUUUAAAAUUUGAAUUGUGCUGUUUGUAUGGCUCAGUAAUAACACAUUAAAAUGUAAAGGAAAGUUGCGGAAGUAUACAAAGAGAUAAACACAGGAGAUUCAGUGCAGUACUGUCUAAUGGAAAAAAAAAAUCAGACCAAAUUUAAGUGCCUCUUAAUAGAAUACUCAUUAAAUGGACUAUCCAUAUCCUUGUAACAAAUACUCCUAAUGAAAAGAAGAAGGUAGAUUUACACAUA